rnacentral:rRNA from 1 species
AAUAGAUACCCUGGUAGUCCACGCCGUAAACGAUGAGUGCUAAGUGUUAGAGGGUUUCCGCCCUUUAGUGCUGCAGCUAACGCAUUAAGCACUCCGCCUGGGGAGUACGGCCGCAAGGCUGAAACUCAAAGGAAUUGACGGGGGCCCGCACAAGCGGUGGAGCAUGUGGUUUAAUUCGAAGCAACGCGAAGAACCUUACCAGGUCUUGACAUCCUCUGACAUCCCUGGAGACAGGGCCUUCCCCUUCGGGGGACAGAGUGACAGGUGGUGCAUGGUUGUCGUCAGCUCGUGUCGUGAGAUGUUGGGUUAAGUCCCGCAACGAGCGCAACCCUUGGCCUUAGUUGCCAGCAUUGAGUUGGGCACUCUAAGGUGACUGCCGGUGACAAACCGGAGGAAGGUGGGGAUGACGUCAAAUCAUCAUGCCCCUUAUGACCUGGGCUACACACGUGCUACAAUGGAUGGUACAAAGGGCUGCGAGACCGCGAGGUUAAGCCAAUACCCAGAAAACCCAUUCCCAGUUCGGAUUGCAGGCUG